ensembl:lincRNA 1700066B17Rik RIKEN cDNA 1700066B17 gene
CUGUAGACAUCAUUACACAGAGGCCGGCAGCUGAGGACUCAGCCCAGGUGAGGCUUCCGCCUGAAAGAUGAGCUAAAGCCAGAGGGAAAUUCCAUCCAGGACCUCACAUGUGACUCGUUCCAAGGGCUCUGAAGACAGACCUUCAACAAAGCUCGCUUGGGUUUGAAGAUGAAUGCCAAUGGAGACAUACGUGUUGAUUAUUGACUCUGUGGCAAAGCAUCGUGGUUUGAUAACAGUAAAAGUCGGUUCUUUCCGAAACUCUCAGUC